rnacentral:ncRNA from 2 species
AGCAGCCGUUGAAGAUUAGGUUCUAAUCGGGGAAAGUUUGGUGCAAAUCCAACGCUGUACCGCAACUGUAAAAGAGCAAUAAAGUGAAGUUUAGUUUUUUACUAUUCUCUAAGUUCUCUAAGUCAGAAUGCCCGCCAAAGUCUAGAUCAAUAU